GACGUAGGGCGCGAGCGUUGUCCGGAUUUAUUGGGCGUAAAGCGCGUGUAGGCGGCCAGGUAGGUCUGCUGUGAAAACUCGAGGCUCAACCUCGAGCGGUCGGCGGAAACCAUCUGGCUAGAGUCCGGAAGAGGAGAGUGGAAUUCCCGGUGUAGCGGUGAAAGUGCGCAGAUAUCGGGAAGAACACCCGUGGCGAAGGCGGCUCUCUGGGACGGUACUGACG
rnacentral:rRNA from 1 species